rnacentral:rRNA from 1 species
AGCGGCGGAUGGGUGAGUAACACGUGGGGAACCUGCCCCUAAGUCUGGGAUACCAUUUGGAAACAGGUGCUAAUACCGGAUAAUAAAGCAGAUCGCAUGAUCAGCUUUUGAAAGGCGGCGUAAGCUGUCGCUAAGGGAUGGCCCCGCGGUGCAUUAGCUAGUUGGUAAGGUAACGGCUUACCAAGGCGACGAUGCAUAGCCGAGUUGAGAGACUGAUCGGCCACAUUGGGACUGAGACACGGCCCAAACUCCUACGGGAGGCAGCAGUAGGGAAUCUUCCACAAUGGACGCAAGUCUGAUGGAGCAACGCCGCGUGAGUGAAGAAGGUUUUCGGAUCGUAAAGCUCUGUUGUUGGUGAAGAAGGAUAGAGGUAGUAACUGGCCUUUAUUUGACGGUGAUCAACCAGAAAGUCACGGCUAACUACGUGCCAGCAGCCGCGGUAAUACGUAGGUGGCAAGCGUUGUCCGGAUUUAUUGGGCGUAAAGCGAGCGCAGGCGGAAAAAUAAGUCUAAUGUGAAAGCCCUCGGCUUAACCGAGGAACUGCAUCGGAAACUGUUUUUCUUGAGUGCAGAAGAGGAGAGUGGAACUCCAUGUGUAGCGGUGGAAUGCGUAGAUAUAUGGAAGAACACCAGUGGCGAAGGCGGCUCUCUGGUCUGCAACUGACGCUGAGGCUCGAAAGCAUGGGUAGCGAACAGGAUUAGAUACCCUGGUAGUCCAUGCCGUAAACGAUGAGUGCUAAGUGU